rnacentral:rRNA from 1 species
GACGAACGCUGGCGGCGUGCCUAAUACAUGCAAGUCGCACGCAGUGGGGACGGGUGAGUAACACGUGGGUAACCUCCCAUCAGAGGGGAUAACACUUGGAAACAGGUGCUAAACCGCUACUGAUGGAUGGACCCGCGGUGCAUUAGCUAGUUGGGUAGGUAACGGCUAACCAAGGCCACGAUACAUAGCCGACCUAUGAGGGUGAUCGGCCACACAGAGACGGGGACACGGCCCAGACGCCUACGGUAGGCAGCAGUAGGAAAGCAUCGACUAUGGACGAGAGUCUGACGGGGCAACGCCGCGGGAGUGAAGAAGGUUUUCGGAUCGUAAAACUCUGUUGUAAGAGAAGCGGGAUCUAACGAGAACACCACGGCUAACUACGUGCCAGCAGCCGCGGUAAUUC